UACCCAAGAAAUACAGCUAACAACUGCUACCAUGUUCAAGCCAGAAAAGAACUGAAAACAGAAGCAAUUAGCAAUAUAAAUAUUAAACAUGGCAGUGGUGAAUGGGGCACUGAUUUACCCAAAUGGAACUAAUGGGCCAU